CUGCAACUGUCGUGCUGUUCAGCCAAAUGUUUGUGUGGGAACUAAUGCAUCGCAAGAAAGUUUGUGGGGAAGGGGUGAUUAUAUAUAUAGGGGUAUUAGAAAAAAUAUAUAUAUAAGCAGAUGUCUGUGUGUGUAUUUAGUGGGUUUUAUAUAAGAUUAUACACAGCUAGAUUACAUGAUUUAUCUUGGCAAUCAAUAGGUUUUCGUAAACUAGCUGUGUACAGUCUUAUCAAUAGACACAUAAUCUCUACUGUCAUACUUUGACAUUGAAAUGUUCAUAUUUUGCACUAACAGAUGUUUAAAAUUGCGUCAGUAUAGUAAUAACUAUUAUAUUUAUUAUUAUAGUAAUAAUUUUCGUAAUCUAGCUGUGUACAGUCUUAUCGAUAGACACAUAAUCUCUACUAUCGGACUUUGAUAUUGAAAUGUUCAUAUUUUACACUAAGAUAUUUAAACAUGCAUCAGUAUAGUAAUAAUAAUUAUUGCUUUUGAAAGAACAUAUUUUUACUUUUUUUUAUCUGUGUUUCUUUCCUCAAUUCGAACCACUCUCAGCCACUGCGAGAUUAAGUUGUUGGAUACGCCUUUGCGAAGUGAUCUGUUAUUUCAAACGAUCGAGCUAGUAUUCAGCGAUCGAGGGGUGUAUUAACUUUUUAUCAUCAAAACUUAAGUGAGCUGCAACUGUCGUGCUGUGCAGUCAAAUGUUUGUGUGGGUGUCACGAGCUCACGAAUUGCCUUCUCACACUGCGCAGGGGUCAACAAGUGCGGAUGUAUGUCUUGAAUGUAACAUUGUCAAUUGUGGUAGACUCGCGGAUCAAGGACGUGUUGUGAUGCAGCUCAAUAAAAAAUCAGCCCUACUUAAAUAAGAAGUGGAGAUCUCCAGAGACGGGAGCUAAUUUCCAAAUACCACAUAAGUAUGAACCCUCGUGCUUCAUAUUAAGAUGGGUGUAGCUACUAAAAUCAAGAACAUAUGGCUAUGCAGAUUGUUCAUUUCAGUACACAUUCUCCUCACAAUGUUACAUUGUCCCAGUGUGCAGUGGCUAUUGUUAUUAAUAAUCUAUUUAACUGUAAAAAAAAAUCUACCAGUGUAGAAAUGAUUUACCACUUUACUAUAUUCACAAUCUAAAUGCUUAUAAAUUCCAGCUGUUAUUAGCUUUAAAGAAACGAAAAGACCCUCAGCAUAUUAGCGGGAUUUGUGAAGAUAUUACUAAGGAUGGUGAACUAAAUAAAUGAAUAAAA